GGCAAGCAGAGCAGGCACAGCAGGAGAAAGCCCUCAUGCAAAGAAAUGCAGGUGUGGGCACUGGAGUCCAGCCUGCUGGGCCCCGACUCUGGCAGGGCAGAGGAGGCAAACCGGGCACCCACAGCACCUGCGACCUCGGGUCCAGGCGCACAGUAAGAACACAGAGAGGCAUCGCGAGUCACGGCAGUGUUCCUAGAAAUGUCCACCCAGACCACCUACACGGCCUAUCGCCUGCUGGAGCUGGUUAUAAAUGACCUUCCCAGCUGUCCGCCCGAGGGAUUGUGUUUCAGUCGGCGUCGGGUCGGGGGCCAGGAAACUGUAUUGUAACAAGCUCACCCGUAAUUCUAUGUCCAGGGAUUCGGCCUCUCAACAGAACAGUGAGCCUGCUCUGCUGGGAUGCUCUGCGACUGAGGCUGUGAACCGCAGAACUCCCAGGGUGGGAAAUAUCUCACCUGGUUAGACAUCUUCGCCUCUGCCUGUACACAGCGUCACUUUCUGAAGGGGACUCUAUGAUUUUCCUUUGUAACACAUCUUUGUGUUUCAAGCUGCAAAAUUCAAUUCAGUUCAACAAAUGCGUACGGAGUGCCUGUUU
rnacentral:lncRNA from 1 species